GACGAACGCUGGCGGCGUGCUUAACACAUGCAAGUCGAACGCUUAAGCUUUGUUCUUGCUCUGGUUGGUUUAGUGGCUAACGUGUGAGUAAUACGUGUGUAACCUGCCCUUGACUCUGGGAUAAUCCUGGGAAACUGGGUCUAAUACUGGAUAUGACAUGCCACUGCAUGGUGGUGUGUUGAAAUGGUUUUUCUGGUUUUGGAUGGGCUCACGGCCUAUCAGCUUGUUGGUGGGGUAAUGGCCUACCAAGGCGACGACGGGUAGCCGGCCUGAGAGGGUGAACGGAGAAAAUGGGACUGAGAGAGGGAGCAGAAGAGAACGGGAGGCAGCAGUGGGGAAUAGUGCACAAUGGGCGGAAGCCUGAUGAAGCGAAGCGGCGUGAGGGAUGACGGGGUUCGGGGUGUAAAAAACUUUAAGAACGGAAGAAGCGAGAGUGACGGUAAGGGAAGAAGAAGCGACGGCUAACUACGUG
rnacentral:rRNA from 1 species